rnacentral:lncRNA from 1 species
AUCUGUAGAUCUCCCUGAGAUCUGCCUAAUGUUGGCUCUGGUCCUUUGCAUCUGUUCCCAUCCGUUGCUUAUGAAGCCUCUCUGCUGAUGAUUGGGCUAGGUCUCAAUCUAUGAGUGCUAGUCUAUAUCAUUAGGAAUCAGUUCAUUGAUUUUUACUUUUUGUCAGUUGUGUUUGGUUCUAUUAUAGGUCUCUGGUCUAUUUAUUAAUAUUAAAAUAAAAAAUGUUAAAGAGAUUUAUUCCUUUUAAAAUAUAUUUGUGUACUGUGUGAGUGCAGUAACUGUGUAGGCCAGAAGAGGGCAAUGGGUCCUCUGAAAUUAGAGGUAUAGAUGAUUAUGAGUUGUCAUGUGCACACUAAGAACUAAACCCAGGUCCUUGGCAAGAACAUUCAGUGCUCUUAUCCAUCUGAGCCAUCUUCACAGCUCCUUAACAUCAAAGUCUUUUGUUAUCACAUUACCUCUUCUUGUAGUGUGACAAAUGACACAAAUGAUACGGUAUAAAAAUCUCAUGGUAAUCUCAUAGGACUGGCUUAUGAGAGAUAUAAACAGCCCAUAAUAAAGUGCCAGACUGCAGGAGAUGCCAGUCUGUGCAUAAAGAGAUGGCUUUAUUGUCUUUGGUCAGGGAGUGGCAGGAAGAGGUACAUCAGAAUUCAUGUCUUCAUGGAAAUGGAGACAAAAGUUGGGAGUAGGAAGGGAAUAGCUGGUGAAUCACAGGGCAGUAAGUAAGCAAAAGGGGCAGACCUAGGAUAGAACAUCAACACUAAUGUCUGGCAAGACAGUCUUAUUUUGAAAGCCUGUGUCCUCUAAGCCUAGAGCAGUUUCAAGUAAAUCUGGCCAUUAUGUCCUUCCAUCAUAGUCUACACAUGUCCCACCCUAAUGGAUUGGCUCAUGAGUCACUUAGCUCAGGCGGUGAUUCUGUUGGCUUUGGUAUCAGCGUACAUUCUCUUUUUCUCUUAAAGAUGAUAAUUACUGGAGCUGGGGAGAUAGCUCACUGGUUAAAAGUGCUUCUUGCUCUUGCAGAGGAAUAGACUUCAGUUCCCUGCUUUAAUACCAGGUUGCUAACAAUCACCAGUAACUCUAGCUCCAGAGUAUUUGAUGCCUACUAUGGGACUCCUUGGUAUUCUAUAUAACUCUGUAGGCAUGUACCUAUACACAAAAAUAAGAAUCGAAUAAAGUUUAAAAUUAACUAUCAUAAAUAAAUAGUCCUACCAUGCUCAUCAGGGUACAUUUCCUUUGUCCUAUAAUAAUUAAAGUAUACCAUUUGUAGUUUCAUUGUCUUCCAUUCAUUAACCAAGCCUCCCUCAUCUUUCCUUGAAGCCUUCUAUUGAUUCCCAGAAAUAAAGAUGACUAAAUAAGCACUUCUUUUUGCUUUUCUCUUUCCUGUGUCCCCUUUCCUAAAGAAGUCACCUCACGGUAGUCACUGCAAUGCCUAUUUUUACAUCCCACUUUUCCCUUUGCCUUCUUAAUUGUGCACACUGAUAUGUGGCCAUGGGCUCCGUCAGCAGAACACACCCUGUGCUGUGCACUUUCUUUCCUAUAAAGGUUGCUCAUGCAGCAUGCCUUCAUAACAAUUCUGUUUGGGUUUCAUCAGUAUUUUUAAGAAUGAAUUUGAACAGGACAAUGGAGACUUAGCAGACACUAUGUUCUAAGAGGGCUUUGUCUUCAAAAUCAGUCUCCAAUGCUUUUACUCAUGUGACCACAUUUUAACUAGACAUAUAGGCAGAGCAGAGCAUUCCAUGAACACUAUAGAUUGUAGCAGCAGUAAGAUUGGGACCACCCUAGUCCUAUCAUUAUCAAACCUCUAUAUCAGUGUUGUGGAUAUAGUUGUAAUUUAAAGACACUGAAAUAUUAUUUUUCACAGGACAUACUAUUUUAAAACACUGACUUUGCUUGUUGACUAUAAGCUUGCUCUACAUUAGUCCUGCAAAUUUGGCCAAUGGUUAAUUUCAUUGCACAGUGAAUGCUCUUCUAUCGUAGUGGCGUGGGCUUUGUUUCCAGGGAGUGUAGUCCUCAAGUGUCUGUCCCAUUUUUUUUUUUUUUUUUGUCUUUUUCCGUUUGAUUUUAUGAGUGCAUCUAUUGAGAGAAUCUAUUUAAACGCUAGCUUUCAGAAUGAAGCUCCUCUGUCCUCCUGUGUGUUUUUCAAUAAUUAGAGUUAAUUAGUCUUUCUAGACUAAUAUGCUCUGGAGCUUUGGGGAGAGUAGUCUUUUGAAACUGACCAAUUCUCUUUCAUAUACCAAUUUAAAAAUACUCUUGAUGCCUCAGCACUUUAGAAUGCACUCACACAGUCAAGAAAGCAAAAUAGCCCGUGCUUUCACCUAUUCUCUUAUAGCUUCUUAAUUUGCUGAUGUUCCUACAAGGUAGAUCACUACCUAAUUCUGCUUUUUAGGGAUAUGUACUGAAGCGUAGUUUCCUUUAAUUAAGUAAUUUUGGGCAGCAAAUUAGUUGUUUAACUAGAUAUAGAUUCUUAGGUUCUGUGUUUCAUUUGGUAAUGACAAAGUCCAGAGUUAUUGCUGUGGAUAUAUAUGUAUUUGUGUGUGUAUAUAUAUAUGUACAUACACAUGU